GCAGAGAACUUUCCAGAGAUGGAUUGGUGCCUUCGGGAACUCUGACACAGGUGCUGCAUGGCUGUCGUCAGCUCGUGUCGUGAGAUGUUGGGUUAAGUCCCGCAACGAGCGCAACCCUCGUGUUUAGUUGCCACCAUUAAGUUGGGCACUCUAAACAGACUGCCGGUGACAAACCGGAGGAAGGUGGGGAUGACGUCAAGUCAGCAUGCCCCUUAUGGCCUGGGCUACACACGUACUACAAUGGCAGUCAUACAGAGGGAAGCAAUACCGCGAGGUGGAGCAAAUCCCUAAAAGCUGUCCCAGUUCAGAUUGCAGGCUGUCGACGGCGGCCGCGAAUU
rnacentral:rRNA from 1 species